rnacentral:rRNA from 1 species
AGGACGAACGCUGGCGGCGUGCUUAACACAUGCAAGUCGAACGAGGCCCUACCUUCGGGUAGGUGACCUAGUGGCGAACGGGUGAGUAACACGUGGGCAACCUACCCUCAGCUCUGGGAUAACCCCGGGAAACCGGAGCUAAAUACCGGAUAUGACCUUGAACGACAUCGUUCUUGGUGGAAAGUUUUUCGGCUGAGGAUGGGCCCGCGGCCUAUCAGCUUGUUGGCGGGUAAUGGCCCACCAAGGCGACGACGGGUAG